CGGCCAGUAGCGCAGCCUGGUAGCGCACCUGGUUUGGGACCAGGGGGCCGCCGGUUCAAAUCCGGCCUGGCCGACCA
rnacentral:tRNA from 1 species